GUUCGUCGGUGACCAAGCAAGUGCAGAUUUGCAGCGCCAUGUUGACGAUGAUAACGGUACCGGUUCCACGCCAUUUUCUCUCCCAAAAAAGCAUUCUUUUUCGUCACAGUGCUCGUUCAAGCUCUGUUGUAGCGACAACCAAAGCAAUGAGAGUUCUUGCUCGAAUUUCUCCCGGAGGCUCGCUCUGUUCCAACUGGGUACAGCUAUUCCUCAGUCACAAGUCUUGGGUGUAAAAGCAUCUGAAUUGCUUAGGCCUGCAGAAAGCAUGACCGAAACAAAUAACAUCGGAAAUGUAGCAGAAAUGAACAGUAAUCUCACUGAGGACAGUGCAUUGCAGUGGGCUAAGAAAGACAAGCGAAGAAUGCUCCAUGCCGUUUAUCGUGUUGGUGAUUUGGACAAGACUAUAAAAUUUUACACUGAAUGCUUCGGAAUGAAACUAUUGAGAAAACGGGACAUACCAGAGGAGAGAUACUCGAAUGCUUUUCUUGGAUAUGGACCUGAAGAUUCCCAUUUCACUGUGGAACUAACUUAUAAUUAUGGCACGGACAAGUACAAUGUAGGAAAUGGACUCCACUUUGGCAUCACAGUGGACGAUGUAGCAAAAGCAGUGAAUCUUGUAAAGGCAAAGGGAGGUAAAGUGAUAAAGGAAUCUGUUCUACUUGAUGGAAACAGUAAAAUAAUUACCUAUGUGGAAGAUCCAGAUGGAUACAAAUUUGAGCUGUCAGAAGCAGCAACUACUCCUGAGCCCCUACAUCAUGUAAAGCUUUGUGUGGGCAAUCUCGAUCGAUCAAUAAACUUUUACAAGAAGGCUUUUGGAAUGGACCUUCUCAGCAAACAAGACAACCCUGAAUACAAGUAUUCUGAAGUUACAUUGGGUUAUGGUCCCGAAGACACAAACCCAGUCCUGAAACUAACUUACAAUUAUGGGGUCACGGUAUAUGAUAAGGGGGACGGCUAUGCCCAGAUAGCAAUUGGAACUGAUGAUGUUUAUAAGACGGCCGAGGCAAUUAAACUGUUUGAUGGGAUAAUUGCCCUUGAACCUGGCCCGUUACCAGGUAUUAAUACGAAGAUAACUGCUUGCUUGGACCCUGAUGGUUGGAAAUCGGUUUUUGUUGAUAAUGUCGACUUCCUCAAAGAAUUGGAGUGACUGAAGCAUUGAUGGGGGGCAGAUAUUGAGACUGGGAUAUCAUGAUGCACUCCAGUGACUACACCUGUAAUUUGAAAUUCGUUUCAGAUGAAACAGAGCCGACAGCUUUGCUACCACCUGCCUCAAAUUUUGAGCAAUCGUUAGAAUUGAAGAUUAGAAGAAUGCAUUAUCUAUGGGUCUGAUGGAGAAUCGAUUAGUUAACAUGUUGGUUAACCGUAUUCUGAAACACGGAAAAAAAUCAUUGGCUUAUCAAAUUAUCUAUCGAGCCAUGAAAAAGAUGAUAAUAAAUUGCUCUUCAUGAACACGUGGAGCUUUCUGUGUCAUUUGAAGCAAAUUAAGGAGGAGACAAGAAAAGGAAAGAAAAAAAUUUAAGUGCACCGGUAAAAUUUGAUGUACCCUUCCAAUUUUCUUAACAUAAAUGUAGUUGUUAUAAUAUUAGGUUUGUACCUGAA